rfam:TPA: Bos taurus chromosome 18, whole genome shotgun sequence.
UCCCUGAUAGCCCAGUUGGUAAAGAAUCUGCCUUCAAUGCAGGAAACCCUAGUUUGAUUCCUGGGCCAGGGAA